rnacentral:lncRNA from 1 species
AUGUGCUUCUCUGAAGCAGCCAAAGAAGACACAGGAAAGGCAAGAGUGGAGUCUGUUCAAAUGGGUGCCACACACAUGGCAGAUACAAGACUUUGCCUUGCUUUUCCUGGUCUCUGGGGUUCCACACCACACGAAGCACUGGUAGAUCACCCGCAGUUCCUGCCUCCAGUUCUCUCCCACCUUAAAGCUGUUCACGUGGGAACAGCCUGGUGGACCCACCGCGAAAUCCACAUCCAGGCACCCGCCCCCAGGGCCGCGCCGGGGCCGGGGCCGGGGCGGGGGCCGUGGCCUAGGCUGCGGCGGGGUACGGAGCCGGGUCUGCGGCCGCGGCCGGGGUCGGCGGCGGGGGGCACGGCUGCGCCGCGGGGAAGGAUCGGGGGGCCGCGGGGGAUCGGAGGGAAGGGUAGGGAGAGGAACCUCGUCUCUGCCGCCGCCACCGCCACUCCGCGCCGGGUUCUCAUCCUCAGGCUCCUGCUUCGGCUCCCCCUUCGGCUCCUGCUCCGCCUCCCGUGCCAGCUCGGGUUCAGGUUCGGGCUCCAGCUUGAGCUCUACCCGGCGUCCCGGACCCUCCACAGUCUCCACCUUCCCGGUGGCGUCCACCUUCCCAGCCGCCUCCACCUUCCCCGCCGCCUCUACCUUCCCUUCCACCUUCGCCUCUGCCUCCACCUUCCUCUCCGCCUUCUCCGCCGUCUCUGCCGUCUCCGCCUCCUCUGCUCCUCCGCCUCCACUGGCAGCGGCUCCUCCCCCUAAUCGCAGGGCUGGGGCGGCCACUGGGCGUGGCGGCGCGGGGGCCACGCAGACCAGGGGUGUCCCCCGUCCGGCCUGAGGGAGCGCGGUGGCUGUGGCAGCUGGACCCAAAAGGGACUUUCACUGAAGGAGGCGGCGGCGGAAGCAGGCGACGCCCCCGGGAAUCCUCCUGCCGUAGCCCCCUAGCGGAGGCCGCUCAGCAGCCAGGCCCGGUUUCCUUUAAUUCAAUAUUUCCCAAACUUGCUUGUUCACGAGAAUCACGUGGGGAGCGUGUUAAAAUUACAGAUUCCUCGGCUCCACCCGCAGCCCCACUGAAUCAGAAUCCCGAAGGAACAUGCUCCGGAACCUGUAUCUUUAACUAGGGCCGAGAAGAUUCUUAUGA